UACGUAGGGUGCGAGCGUUGUCCGGAAUUAUUGGGCGUAAAGAGCUCGUAGGCGGCUUGUCGCGUCGGUUGUGAAAGCCCGGGGCUUAACUCCGGGUCUGCAGUCGAUACGGGCAGGCUAGAGUGUGGUAGGGGAGAUCGGAAUUCCUGGUGUAGCGGUGAAAUGCGCAGAUAUCGGGAAGAACACCCGUGGCGAAGGCGGCACUCUGGGACGGUACUGACGCUGAGACGCGAAAGCGUGGGGAGCGAACAGG
rnacentral:rRNA from 1 species